rnacentral:lncRNA from 10 species
CCAUCUCUCCCUUGCCUCUCAUCAACAUGGGAUGAAACUGAUGCCACCUGUUGCCACUAGACCUUGCCUCCUGGGGAGUGAUUUCAAUCCUGGUGAUUGGAAGUUUAUUUUAGUCUGAAAGAUCUGGAAAUAUAGAAAACAUCUCCAUCUUUCUGCUGUUGAGUUCCCAGUGCCCCUGCAAAAUGCCAGCCUGUGACUGUCAAUAUCUGUGACUCUAUCCCUCGACCCAUAAUUCCCAGCCUCCAUCCUAGCUUCUGGGAUAGAGUUCCAUGGAUAAUUCAGCAAUUGCAGGAAAAUUUGGGCCCCCAACAGUGAACAACAGAACUCAAAAGAUGCAAAUACGAGGAUAAUGGACCACUGGAGGCUGAUCCAACACAAAAUACACAUUACCCUGUGCUACGUUCAGGAAUAGGAGGGUUCCUGUCUAGUUGCAGAAAAAGGAUAAGAGGUCAUAUCAAAACAGCACAGUCAUCUGAAAAUGGAACUUAUGUCUACAAAAGUUACAGGAAACCACAUCAAGAAGACUUUGUUUUGGUGCCCCAAGAGGAUUAACCUACUAAAUCCUACUAGCAAGUUUCUGGAGAACUCUAUAAAUUGUAGCAAAUCAAUAACCUCUGAAGUGUAACCUCUACUUGGACUGCAGCCAUUGAGAAGAUGUUCUCUAUACCUUCAAGGACAGAGGCACUCUUCAAAGCAGCAAGGACACAUCAGUGAGCAAGAUGGGCAGAGUCCCCGCUCUCAAGAAGUCCAUAUUCUACGUCGGGAGGCAGACAGAAGCCAAAUCAACAAAUGAAUAAACGGUGAUUUGGAUGGCGAUAAAUGCCAAGAAGAAAAUUAAACAGAGUGAUGGGAUUGCAAGAGGUUGAUGGUCAAAGAUAGCCUUUCUGAAGGAGCUAGCCAUAGUAAAGGGAAGAAAUUGCCUUGCAGGCAGGGACACUAACUGCAGGAAAGUCCCAAAGGAGGGAAUGAGAUACAAGAAUUUGGGGAGCAGAAAGAAAACCAGUGUGACUGCCCAGGGGGAGAGGCAGAGAGUGGAUACAGAUAAUAUUGGCUUUAGAGUCUGGGGUGAGAUGCUUGGAUUUUGUUCCAAGUGUUAUGGGAAGCCACUGGGGAGCUUUGAGCUGGCAUGGAGUGAUUAUGUUUUCAAAAGUUUAUUCACUCUGGCUGCUGCGUGCAAAUGGUCUACAGAGUUGCACACAUGAGAAUAUAGGGUCUGCUAGGAGAUGGCAACCAUCAUUCACAAGAGAGUUUUUGGGAGCCUGGACUAGGAUGGCUGUGGUGGAAAUGAGGGAAGUGAAAAAUAGAUGCUAAUAAUUGGAAUAAAAGGAUGAAGGAAUGCUUUGAGAGGACAUGCAAGCAAGGAAGAUAGAUUGGAUUUCUUCCUGAAAUUAGGAGUCCAUUGAUCUUAACCAGACUGGAGUGUUUUUGAGAUGAGAAAGAUGACUGGCUAACCACAUUAGACUCUAUUCUCACUAGAUUUUUUAGACAGUGGUUCAAGUUGGGUUUCUUUCAUGGAAAGCCCAUUGUUUUGUUCCUAUAAAGGGGGUUAAUAGACUGUAACACCAGUUUAAUUAUACCUGUUUCCUUGACUGCUUUCUUUAGUUUAAUAUUUACUAAGUUUAGCAUUUAGCAUGUAUCUCAGUAUAGAUGGAGGUCAUUUAAAAAUUCCCUGAAU